GAUGAACGCUGGCGGCGUGCCUAAUACAUGCAAGUCGAGCGAACAGACGAGGAGCUUGCUCCUCUGACGUUAGCGGCGGACGGGUGAGUAACACGUGGAUAACCUACCUAUAAGACUGGGAUAACUUCGGGAAACCGGAGCUAAUACCGGAUAAUAUAUUGAACCGCAUGGUUCAAUAGUGAAAGACGGUUUUGCUGUCACUUAUAGCUGGAUCCGCGCCGCAUUAGCUAGUUGGUAAGGUAACGGCUUACCAAGGCAACGAUGCGUAGCCGACCUGAGAGGGUGAUCGGCCACACUGGAACUGAGACACGGUCCAGACUCCUACGGGAGGCAGCAGUGGGGAAUCUUGCGCAAUGGGCGAAAGCCUGACGGAGCAAGGCCGCGUGAGUGAUGAAGGUCUUCGGAUCGUAAAACUCUGUUAUUAGGGAAGAACAAAUGUGUGAGUAACUAUGCACGUCUUGACGGUACCUAAUGAGAAAGCCACGGCUAACUACGUG
rnacentral:rRNA from 1 species